AUGGAAACGAAUCAGCGCUGCCGGAAGCAAGAGUGAUGUCCACUGUAGUUCAGGUUUAGUGUUGUCGUAGACAUACAUAUACGGUGUAAAUGCCAUGAGCUGUUUUUAUUUGCUGCAUGACGGACACAUCCUUCCCUCCCGUCGGUAAUAUUUACAGGUACAGCCUCGGAAAGUCAACAUCAUCAAAGAUCCCUACUAUGCCAUCUUCUCGCAUCUACCAUUGGCAGGAGAUACCGGAGCAUGAAGUCCGACACCACUAGAUGCCAGAAAAGGCCAUGACUGAAAAUGAAACGAUUUCACUACUUCAAGUAGAAACUACAAAGAAAUUCAAGGUGCUUCAGGUGCCUCUGCUGCCACACCUGCAGUCUCAGGAAGAGCUUCUUCCCCGAGGCUGUGACCCUGCUGAAACUCACAUCACAGUGCUAAGCAGUAUUGCACCCAUAUUGCACUGUCUUAGUACUUUCAUAUUUGUAUGCUGUAGCACUUACUUUUUAUUCGCAGUUAUUUUGUAAAUAACACUAUUCUUUUGCACUUUAGAUGCUAAUUGCAUUUCAUUGGCUUUGUAUCUGUACUUGGCAAAAUGACAAUAAAGUUGAA